rnacentral:miRNA from 1 species
GAAAUGCCUCAAUGAGAUCCAACUGUAAGGCAUUUUCUCUCUUAGUGAUCAAUGAAGAGGGCCCCUAGAGGGUAGUACCAUCCCUGGGCUGUUGGUCCUG